rnacentral:rRNA from 1 species
UACGUAGGGGGCUAGCGUUGUCCGGAUUUAUUGGGCGUAAAGAGCGUGUAGGCGGCCAUACAGGUCCGUUGUGAAAACUCGAGGCUCAACCUCGAGACGUCGAUGGAAACCGUAUGGCUAGAGUCCGGAAGAGGAGAGUGGAAUUCCUGGUGUAGUGGUGAAAUGCGUAGAGAUCAGGCGGAACACCCGUGGCGAAGGCGGCCAGCUGGGCCGUCCCUGACGCUGAGGCGCGAAGGCGUGGGGAGCGAACGGG